GACGAACGCUGGCGGCGUGCCUAAUACAUGCAAGUAGAACGCAGUUGCGAACGGGUGAGUAACGCGUAGGUAACUGCCUGGUAGCGGGGGAUAACUAUUGGAAACGAUAGCUAAUACCGCAUACUCACCGAUGGACCUACGUUGUAUUAGCUAGUUGGAGAGGUAACGGGUCACCAAGGCCACGAUACAUAGCCGACCUGAGACGGUGUUUGGCCACACUGGGACUGGGACACGGCCCCGACUCCUACGGGAGGCAGCAGUAGGGAAUCUUCGGCAAUUGGGGGAACGCUGACCGAGCAACGCCGCGUGAGUGAAGAAGGUUUUCGGAUCGUAAAGCUCUGUUGUUAAGGAAGCGGUACUUAACCAGAAAGGGACGGCUAACUACGUGCCAGCAGCCGCGGUAAUUC
rnacentral:rRNA from 1 species